CGCGAAUGUGAACGCCAUUUUUUCCUCCGGUUCUGCUCGUCGGUUCCUGGCUCCGGUCGGCGGAUGAUGCAGGCAGUUCCCCAACCGAUUUGAGAUUUGUCGGUGGAUCGUCUUCUUCUUCAAAAAUCAAACUGGAAAGAGUUUCUGUCUGGCCAGCACUGGACCAAAUAGCGUAAGUGCAUAUGAACAGUUUGAAAACAAGACUCUUUUGAAAACAGAAGGUUUAGACAUCACUGUCAUUUUAUUUGGACAAUAGACACUUUUAUAAAGUAUGGGAAAAUACAAAUAUCUCAAGUUUCACUGAUGCCAUGAGGCAGCUGGUUAUGGUAGAUGUCUCAGGUGUUUUUUGAUUUUUUUUAGUAAAAAGGAAAGAAAAUAGAAUAGGCAUUUGAUCAGAGAGGACAUCAAGAGCUGAACGACACAUUUGCAGGUUAAAAGUAAAAGAC